UUUGCGUCGAAGGUAUACCGACAAGGAGUGCUGGAGCGAAUAGAAGUGAGCAUGCAGGCAUGAGUAGCGAUAAUUAAUGUGAGAAUCAUUAACGCCGUAAACCCAAGGUUUCCUACGCGAUGCUCGUCAUCGUAGGGUUAGUCGGGUCCUAAGCUGAGUCCGAAAGGGGUAAGCGAUGGCAAAUAGGUUAAUAUUCCUAUACCAACAUUAGUGUGCGAUGGAAGGACGCUUAGGGCUAAGGGGGCUAGCGGAUGGAAGU
rnacentral:rRNA from 1 species